AAAGGAAAAUCUUUUACACAAUGAAGAGUUAUAUUUUUAAUAUAAAAAAGGAAUUACCUUCCUUAA
rnacentral:tRNA from 1 species